rfam:Ipomoea nil DNA, scaffold: scaffold3169, cultivar: Tokyo-kokei standard.
GGGCAUUUGGUCUAGUGGUAUGACUCUCGCUUUAGAUGCGAGAGGUCCCGAGGUUGAAUCUUGGAAUGCCUC